GCGGAAGGAAGCAUCUUGGCGUGCUCCUCGGCCUGCGGGCCAGAAGCACGGCGUGAUGGGCGGGGUUUGGCCCUCGGGGCGGAAGCGUGGCGAGAUGGGCGGGGUUUGGCCGGAAGGCCAGAAGCGCGUGGAAGGCGUGGCCGGGGGGCGGAGGCUGGGCGGUGCGGGCGAGAUGGAGCCGAAACUUGGGUUCCAUGAGCUCCUGCACGUUUUCUCCUUCCUGGAGGCCCGAGACCUGCUCUGCGCCGCCCAGGUGGACAAGGUCUGGAAUGAGGUUUCAGGGACCAAGGAACUGUGGAGGCAGCUGUGUCUGAGACGCUGGUCAUCAUGUAAAACCUCCCAGAUGACCUUGGGCACACAAACAUGGAAAGAGUACUAUCUCUGCCGAUCCGAGCUGGAGUUCCGAAUGGAAUGUGGGCGGCCAGAGAAGGACUUCAUCUGCAAAGCCAUUGCCGGGCACACAGGAGAGAUAGACGAGCUGGCUUACAUCUCAACCAAGGAGUGCCGGUUUGAUGGGCAAGAGAAGUCCAUGGUGUGCACCGUGUCCUCGGACAGCACCGUCCGUGCCUGGGAUGUGCAGGAGGGCACAGAGAUCUGGUCAAGCCCUCUGCAGCCCGCUGCUCUGGUGAACGUGGUGACCUUCCCUCGGCUCCAGCUGGCCAUCACCGUGGAUGAGCGGGGCCUCAUCAAGGUUUGGGGAGCGGAGAACGGAUGGGAGCAGGCCUCCUUCCGCCUGCCUACAUUCUCGUCUGCAUUGCAGGCCUGCGAGCACUCAGAGGGCCCUUUCCUGCUGGUGGCCUGUGCCGAGGGCUUCCUGUAUGCGCUCACGGUGCCCCAGCUGCAGCUGCGGUCCAGGACUCGCGUGUUCCCGAGCAGCCCCACCAGUCUCCUCUGCUCUCCUGACUGCCAGUGGGUGUUUGCUUCAACCCAGAACUCAGACCUGGGCCCGAAGGUGUUCCACACUCGCUCCCUGCUGUGUCUGGUGGAGGAUGAGCCUCCCGUCUCCACCACUCUACCCAUCUGGCUGACCUCCAGAGCCUGCUGGGCCCCUGACGAGACAGCCAGGCUGAUGGUGACGCACAGAAAUGACAACGGCACGCAGCUGGUCAUCACCACCUACGAGCUCAGGACCAAGCAGUCACGGGAAGGAGUAGACGUCGUGGUACAACAGAUGGCAAGUUUCCUCCUGCCCAACUCCAUGACACCUCCUCACCUCAUGAAGGGCCACGGCUCUCAGGUGAUCCUGCUGGUGUCCGGGUCGGAGCUGGCGCUCUUCACCAUCCACGGGGUGCAGCUGGCAGCCUUCCAGGACCACCAGAGGCCCAUCACGUCCAUGUGGGUGGACCAGAGCCGAGUCAUCACCGCUUCCUUUGACCUAUCCCUGCGAGUCUAUGUGUGGAAUAAAGAAACGAAGCCUCCCGUCCUCAAGAGCUGCUAUCACCUGCUUGGGGGCUCCCACAGAUGGGCCAGUGGAUUCACCCAUGUGGAAGGCGACAGUAUGAGCAUUGUAGGUGUGGAAGCCAGAAACAUUGGGACGAGUAUUCUGAGGUCCUAUUGCUUCAAAGUGCAGCGUGGCUCAGAUGACUGCAUCAAUUGAAGAUAAUCUCACUUUGGUGAAGAGCUUGUCUACAUACAGACUAAAUGAUGACUUAUCACCAUUGAGACAGAAAUGAGCAAUUCUCAGAUACCUGUUAUGGACCAGGCACUGUGCUAUGUGACUUUUUUUUAAUCCUCACAAACCAGUUAAAGAGUCCUACCGGGUGUUCAGCGGUCCUAGUGCAUCCUGCUUACAGCCAUGGGGGAAGGGAGAGGAGGCAAAAAAUUCGCUGAAAAACACACACACAUGACACAGCAAGAAAGGAAAUAGCUGUUCAGAAGAUAAAGGGAAGAUUCAGGUAAGUUGAGAUAGAGGAGUUUUUGCUGAAGACACGGGAAAGGGGUUGGAAUGUUGGCAAAAGAGGGGAGGUCCGAUAAGGGACUGGUGAGGGUACAAGCCACCCGAGAGGCGUGGACAUAUGAUAGCUGGGGAAGCAGUGUGGUCAGUUCUUAGGGAAGGCAGCCCACCAGGGCCUCAUGUGUGCUGGCAGCAGCAUUAAAUGGUGUCACAUCUGGGUGUGGUGGCCCUGCCCAAGGACAGCUCUGUGGUGCGGGAGGCUUAGGGAGAGAGUUGCCCUAACUUGAGCACAGGAGGCUCUUGGAGAAACCAUGUGUUGAGUCUGGCAGAUGGGCUCCUCAGGGAAAAGCAACAUCUAUGAGGUGUGAUGCCACAGCCUGGGGGAAACACAGGAAGUGUCUCCUGCUCCCAGGUACUCUAAAUCCAAGUUCUGAGGCUUCUUUCCCUUUGAGGGCUGAUGCUGCUGGGGAGCAUGAGGGCCUUAGCAGCACCUCUGAUUCCUGCCAGCAGGUAAAUCUCAGCCUUCCUCAGAGCCUCUGUUACUGCAGGUGCAACGCCCAAGAUAUUCUGUAUAAGUACAGAAAAUACUGAAAAAAUUUCCCUAGUUUUUGGCCACAGGUGACGUCUUAACAAUUUCUAAAAUAUUAAUUACUAACUAUAAUAAUGCCUUUUUAAAAAGACAGUUACCACAAA